UAAUUGAAGAGUUUGAUCAUGGCUCAGAUUGAACGCUGGCGGCAGGCCUAACACAUGCAAGUCGAACGGUAACAGGGA
rnacentral:rRNA from 1 species